AACGCUGGCGGCGUGCCUAAUACAUGCAAGUCGAGCGAGCGGAACUAACAGAUUUACUUCGGUAAUGACGUUAGGAAAGCGAGCGGCGGAUGGGCGAGUAACACGUGGGGAACCUGCCCCAUAGUCUGGGAUACCACUUGGAAACAGGUGCUAAUACCGGAUAAGAAAGCAGAUCGCAUGAUCAGCUUUUAAAAGGCGGCGUAAGCUGUCGCUAUGGGAUGGCCCCGCGGUGCAUUAGCUAGUUGGUAAGGUAAAGGCUUACCAAGGCGAUGAUGCAUAGCCGAGUUGAGAGACUGAUCGGCCACAUUGGGACUGAGACACGGCCCAAACUCCUACGGGAGGCAGCAGUAGGGAAUCUUCCACAAUGGACGCAAGUCUGAUGGAGCAACGCCGCGUGAGUGAAGAAGGUUUUCGGAUCGUAAAGCUCUGUUGUUGGUGAAGAAGGAUAGAGGUAGUAACUGGCCUUUAUUUGACGGUAAUCAACCAGAAAGUCACGGCUAACUACGUGCCAGCAGCCGCGGUAAUACGUAGGUGGCAAGCGUUGUCCGGAUUUAUUGGGCGUAAAGCGAGCGCAGGCGGAAGAAUAAGUCUGAUGUGAAAGCCCUCGGCUUAACCGAGGAACUGCAUCGGAAACUGUUUUUCUUGAGUGCAGAAGAGGAGAGUGGAACUCCAUGUGUAGCGGUGGAAUGCGUAGAUAUAUGGAAGAACACCAGUGGCGAAGGCGGCUCUCUGGUCUGCAACUGACGCUGAGGCUCGAAAGCAUGGGUAGCGAACAGGAUUAGAUACCCUGGUAGUCCAUGCCGUAAACGAUGAGUGCUAAGUGUUGGGAGGUUUCCGCCUCUCAGUGCUGCAGCUAACGCAUUAAGCACUCCGCCUGGGGAGUACGACCGCAAGGUUGAAACUCAAAGGAAUUGACGGGGGCCCGCACAAGCGGUGGAGCAUGUGGUUUAAUUCGAAGCAACGCGAAGAACCUUACCAGGUCUUGACAUCUAGUGUCAUUUGUAGAGAUACAAAGUUCCCUUCGGGGACGCUAAGACAGGUGGUGCAUGGCUGUCGUCAGCUCGUGUCGUGAGAUGUUGGGUUAAGUCCCGCAACGAGCGCAACCCUUGUUAUUAGUUGCCAGCACUAAGUUGGGCACUCUAAUGAGACUGCCGGUGACAAACCGGAGGAAGGUGGGGAUGACGUCAAGUCAUCAUGCCCCUUAUGACCUGGGCUACACACGUGCUACAAUGGGCAGUACAACGAGAAGCGAGCCUGCGAAGGCAAGCGAAUCUCUGAAAGCUGUUCUCAGUUCGGACUGCAGUCUGCAACUCGACUGCACGAAGCUGGAAUCGCUAGUAAUCGCGGAUCAGCACGCCGCGGUGAAUACGUUCCCGGGCCUUGUACACACCGCCCGUCACACCAUGGGAGUCUGCAAUGCCCAAAGCCGGUGGCCUAACCUUCGGGAAGGAGCCGUCUAAGGCAGGGCAGAUGACUGGGGUGAA
rnacentral:rRNA from 1 species